rnacentral:ncRNA from 2 species
CUAUCCUCGGCAGUGGAUGGUCCGGCGGCGCUGAUCUUGCGCCAUCGGCUAAGAGGGAAUGCGAAGGGACGACCCAAUCGGGGUCCCGCGUCGCAGCCGACCCCGCGACUGUAGAGCGGCGAGGUCCUUCCACCCCCGCGAUUCGCGUCAGCGAAUUCGCGCGGCGACGAACGCUGAUCGCGUUUGCGUGGUGACAAAUGCCUUCGGCAUUUGCGCAGCGACAAGCGCCAUCCGCAUUUGCGCAGCGACAAAUGCCUUCGGCAUUUGCGCAGGGGGAAACGCCACUGGCGCCGCAAGGGGCUGGGAAGGCAGGAAGAGACCGACGACCCGCGAGCCAGGAGACCUGCCAUCCCUUGGAAAAGGCC